rnacentral:rRNA from 1 species
CCUACGGGAGGCAGCAGUCGAGAAUCAUUCACAAUGGGGGAAACCCUGAUGGUGCGACGCCGCGUGGGGGAAUGAAGGUCUUCGGAUUGUAAACCCCUGUCAUGUGGGAGCAAAUUAAAAAGAUAGUACCACAAGAGGAAGAGACGGCUAACUCUGUGCCAGCAGCCGCGGUAAUACAGAGGUCUCAAGCGUUGUUCGGUAUCACUGGGCGUAAAGCGUGCGUAGGCUGUUUCGUAAGUCGUGUGUGAAAGGCGAGGGCUCAACCCGCGGACGGCACAUGAUACUGCGAGACUAGAGUAAUGGAGGGGGAACCGGAAUUCUCGGUGUAGCAGUGAAAUGCGUAGAUAUCGAGAGGAACACUCGUGGCGAAGGCGGGUUCCUGGACAUUAACUGACGCUGAGGCACGAAGGCCAGGGGAGCGAAAGGGAUUAGAUACCCCUGUAGUC